AAGUCGUAACAAGGUUUCCGUAGGUGAACCUGCGGAAGGAUCAUUACAGAGAAUCUGCCCCCGGGCAAUCUCCCACCCUUUGUUUAUCAUACCUUUGUUGCUUUGGCAGGCCCGCCCCCGGGCCGCCGGCUUCGGCUGGCCAGCGUCUGCCAGAGGACCCCAAACUCUUGUUUUAUUGUCGUCUGAGUACUAUAUAAUAGUUAGAA
rnacentral:misc_RNA from 1 species